CCGAGACCCACUGCCCGCACACGUGGAGGCACCUCGGCCCUUUCUGCCUGCUGCUCCAUGGACUCACUUUUGCUUUUCGGUGUGAGAGCUGAGAGAUGUCUGUGGACCAGGAGGCAAAACCCUGGAAGAAGGAAGGCUUUUGUCUUGGAGGAUGAUCUGGCCCUUACACUCACGGAGAAUCCAGUGCUUUGCAGGGGAUGUGCAUGGCAAGGCCUGGAGGGAGGAGUCCAUCUGCAGCAUAUCUCAGUUUGGAAGCCACAUUUCAAGUGUUCGGGGGCCACAGGUGGCCAGCAGCUGCCUUAGCAGACAGAGCGGGAUUGGACGGACAGCAGGUCAGAGCCUAGGAGCAGGUGAAUUUCAGGCUCCUUCCCAAUUCACUGCUUGAACUCUUAGUAGAAUGGAAAUUGAGCCUUUUCGGUUCUUAGGGGACAAGGAGACCUCACAGACCUCUGGUUCUGGGGUGAUCAUGUGAGUACUUGUUUGUAAUAAAGUUUUCAUUCUUGGGAGCUGCCA
rnacentral:lncRNA from 1 species